AACUAUCGAAAGCACGCCGAUCGCGACGAUUCCCCAUCCGGAAACAGCGGUAAAUGAACCCGCGGCCUCCAUCGUGUCGCGAAUGAAUGCGAGGUUGUCCAUCGCUCGCACGUGAAGCGCAGGAGUGUCCUUCGACGGCGUCGGUCUCAGCGGACGAACUGAUGUCAUAC
rnacentral:misc_RNA from 1 species